rnacentral:rRNA from 1 species
UACGGGGGGAGCAAGCGUUGUUCGGAUUUACUGGGCGUAAAGGGCGCGUAGGCGGCGCAACAAGUCACUUGUGAAAUCUCCGGGCUUAACCCGGAGCGGUCAAGUGAUACUGUCGUGCUAGAGUGCGGAAGGGGCUACUGGAAUUCUCGGUGUAGCGGUGAAAUGCGUAGUUAUCGAGAGGAACACCUGCGGCGAAGGCGGGUAGCUGGGCCGACACUGACGCUGAUGCGCGAAAGCCAGGGGAGCGAACGGG